rnacentral:misc_RNA from 1 species
GAACUGCGAUAAGUAAUGUGAAUUGCAGAAUUCAGUGAAUCAUCGAGUCUUUGAACGCACAUUGCGCCCCCUGGCAUUCCGGGGGGCAUGCCUGUCCGAGCGUCAUUGCUGCCCUUCAAGCCCGGCUUGUGUGUUGGGUCGUCGUCCCCUCCGGGGGACGGGCCCGAAAGGCAGCGGCGGCACCGCGUCCGGUCCUCGAGCGUAUGGGGCUUUGUCACCCGCUCGAUAAGGACCGGCCGGGCGCCAGCCGGCGUCUCCAACCCUUUUUUCUCAGGUUGACCUCGGAUCAGGUAGGGAUACCCGCUGAACUUAAGC